CUUCAGCAACCUAGAAAGCUUUCCUGUUUGUCUUUGUUCCAGACCAAGCCUGAGAACCCUGCGGAGCCCAGCACCAUAUACCAGGAGGUGCUGUGUGACGGCGGGGCUCUGUAUCAAGAACUGGAGAGGUGAUUUCUGAGUGAAGAAUCUCCUGCGUAGCAAUAAGGACUCACGGUACCUUCUCCCAGCUGAACGUUUCUGCCUAGAUGCCUGUCAGCUGCAAACGCCAGCCAUUGCCCUCCGUGAUAUAACCUGCCUUAAAAACCCCAGACUCUUCUCUAAAUAUAGUGCUUUAAAUAUAUGGCGUGAAUGUGGCCUUAAUGUGCAUCCCUGCAGAUCAUUCUGAGGUAGAACUUUGAACGGUUUCAUCU